GCCUUCAUGGUGUAACGAUAACACACUCGGCAUGUAUUCUUGAUGUCCGGGUUCGAGUCCUAGUGAAGGCA
rnacentral:tRNA from 1 species